rnacentral:lncRNA from 1 species
CCUUGCUCAGGGACAGGAAGAAUGUUCUAGAACACUCCUCUCAUGCCACCUCCGGCUCCCCCUCACAAACUUAUCCCUGAGUGAGCCUGCCUGCUCCCGUGCAUUCUGGCAUCCAGGAGGACAACGAGCCGGCCACCCCUACCCCCCAGAUAAGGACAAAAGACCCCGGCAGCUCGCUGGUCCUCCAGGCUGUGCCCUGGCUGCAAGGGUGAAGCCACCUUUGUCCCCGGGCCCUGGGAGUCCUGGCCUCUGAGUGCUCCCAGUGGGAAGGCCGCCGUGCCUGCUGGGCACCUGCAUCCUGCACUCCUCCUCCUGGCCUGGGCUGUCCACACCUUCACGCAGG